rnacentral:rRNA from 1 species
UUUGCCCCCAGCAGCCGCGGUUUAUACUUUUAAAUAAAAGCUCUGCUUUUCAAACUACAUAAAUAAAGUUUUAAUUUUCUGUUAUAAGAAUUAAAAAAUAAGCUUUAUUAAGCUUACCUAUAUAUCAAAUAAAAAACAAAACUGGACUAGUGCCCAAGUAUGUAAUUUUCUUUAGGUAUUAAAUCUAAACCUAAACUGUCUGGCAGUUAUUUAUUCUUUUUAGAGAAUUUUGGUUUACAAAUUGACACCCCACAAUUUUAUUCACUGGGGCUCUGUUUACGUGUGGUUGUUUAAAAAUAAGUGUCAAAUUAAAUUUUGUCCAAAUAACAUGUAGCCUGCCUCAGGAAUAACUGAAAUGCUUUAACUAAGAACUAACGAAGCUCAGGAUUUAAUAGUAGGCUAAAUUCGUCGAACAAGUUAUAAAUAAGGUUCAUAUUGUCCGUCACUCUCCUUAGAGAUAAGUCGUAACAUAGUAGGAAAA